UGUGAAGCUGGCAUCCCUUGGAGCUCAGCGAGGACCGUCCUCUCACUUCUGGCUGGUAGACGAUGUGUAGAAGAUACGCCUUCCUCUUCUGAGUCAUGUCCUGAAGGAAGGGACCUGUCUCCUGCCUUGCUCCCUCUUCUGGAAGCCUGAUGGACGUGGUGGUGUCAGACGGGUCAGACGAACCUGACACCAUUCAAUGCCACACAUUCUGUGCUGCCAAAGCACGGAAGCCUGGGUCCACAAAUCAGCACAUCACCAUGCUGGCCCAGGGCCUUUUUGUAAGCCGGGAGAGAAGCCACCCAUUGACAGCUCGACAAAAUGAGCCAGCAUUUACACGAUGCUUGUUGUAAUGGUAACAUGGGAUUGCCCGGAGGACCCAAGAACCUGGUACCCUUUUGGAGGUGUUCAUCAGACUUCACAUCUGCAUGGCAGUUGGGAGCCAGGCCAGGAGCAACAGAAACCAAACGAGGACACGAGGUGACCUGACUUGGCCACACUCACAGCCCACAUGUGGGACAAGGCUCAAGCUGCUAUUGUUUCCAUGUCCAGUCGCUCUGCAGAUGUCAAGUCCAGAACUCAC